AAGGAUUUAAGUUAAACCCUUAAACUCUCAACCUUCAAAGUUGGAAAUACCCCACAAGUAAGCCUUA
rnacentral:tRNA from 1 species